UAAGAUAGUUAAAACAGGGAUUGCAUGUAUUUCCUCACAUUCAAAUGUAUUUGCCUGAAUUCAGACAGCAGAAGUUCAGAUAGAGUUACCAUAGUUCAUAUUUGGUUUCUAGGGUUUGGAUGAGAAAGCCAAAGAAUAUGUUGUCAAGAGGUGAGAAACUAGAGAAUCUGUUAAAAUUUUCUAAAUAUAUUCAGCUCUUAAGUUGUUAAACUCUGCAGUAACAUGAACUCGGCCUAGACUCUUUCUAAUGGUAGGUUGUUCAUUAGAUUCAAGUAUUUUCUUAGGUCAAGAAGAGAGAGAACAUGUUAUUUCUGUUUUAGGUUGUCUUUUUUUUUGCUAUUAUUUAUAUCUCCAUAACCUUGCUUAUUUGUAUCUGCUUGAUGCAUCAAAUUCUCAUGCAAAAUUCCCCACUGUGGCUAUGAUUUUUAUAAUGAUUACACCUGUCUUUGUCAGAGCUUUGCUUUAUAUAUUUUGCUGCUGUAGUUUUUGGUGUACAGGAAUUCACUAAUUAUACUUGAAGAUGUCGCAAUUUGCCUCUUUUCCCUGCUUAACAGUCUUGAUCUUGAAUUCUGCUUAUCUGAUUGUGAUUCUGCCAUUUCUGCUUUCUGUUUGCUUACAUUUGCCUGGUGUAAUUUUCCACAUCCUUUAUUUUCAAACUUUCUUUAUCAUUCUGUUUUAGGCGUGUUUCUUGCCUAUGACAUUGGGCAAGGUAUAUCUGUUAGGAUAAUUUGGGUUGCAAAUAAUGUGCACUGGUUUCCAAAAAUAGAGGAGGAUGUAUUUGCUCUUAUAAUGUUGCAGGAUAGGUUUUGUUUUCAAGCAUGGUUUGUUUCAGUUUUGAUGCUUGAUUUCUCUCAGUUCACUCAGUUCUGUGUUCCUUUGUGUGUUAGACUAUUUUCUCUCCUGGGAGCAAAAUGGCCACAGAGGCCCCAGGCCUCCCAUGUGUUUAUACCUCAAAGUCCAGAAAAUGAGAAAACUUCUCUUCUGAAAAUCUUGAAAACUCUUUAAUCACAUGUCAAACCCUAAAAAAAAAAAAAAAUUCACUGUGACCGGUGAUGUGCCAUGCCGCAUUGCGUUUGGGCCUGUAUUACUCAUCUUCGAACCAACCACUUUGGUGGGGAGAUUAAUAUUAUGAUAAAAGGUUCCUUUGGGUGAAUUAAAGCUCAAAGCCUAAAAUUGAAAUUUAAGAUUAAUUCCCAUCCGAGCCAGUGUGCCAGUGUUCAAGAGAACAGAGUAGAUAAGUAUUGUAAAGAAGUUACCACAGUUCUCAUUACUGGAUAACAACGUAAUUCUUUAUCUUCAAAAGGUAAAUGAAUAAACUAACAGAAUGUACCAGAAAAAAAUAAGAAAUAAUAAGUAAGAUUGCUAUUGCAAUAUUAAUGUUGAGAAGUAAAAAAUCAGGAGUUUCCCUAUCACAAAUCAUAACCAAUUAGAAAAUAUAACUGGGAGUUCCAUUGUGGCUCAGUGGAUUAUGAACCCAACUAGUAUCCAUGAAGAUAUGGGUUCAAUCCCUGGCCUCAGUUAAUUGGUUAUAGGAUCUGGCAUUGCUGUGCCUGUAGCUGUGGCUGGCAGCUGCACCUCCAAUUUGACUCCUAGCCUGGGAACGUCCAUAUGCCAUGGGUGUGGCCCU
ensembl:lncRNA